AACGUAGGUUCCGAGCGUUAUCCGGAUUUACUGGGCGUAAAGCGCGUUCAGGCGGUUUGGCAAGUCGGGCAUGAAAUCUCUCGGCUCAACCGGGAGAGGUUGUCCGAUACUUCCAGACUUGAGGGCAGUAGAGGGUGGUGGAAUUCCGGGUGUAGUGGUGAAAUGCGCAGAUAUCAGGAGGAACACCGGUGGCGAAGGCGGGUCUCUGGGCCGAUACUGACGCUGAGGAGCGAAAGCGUGGGGAGCGAACAGG
rnacentral:rRNA from 1 species